rnacentral:rRNA from 1 species
GAUGAACGCUAGCUACAGGCUUAACACAUGCAAGUCGAGGGGCAGCAUGAACUUAGCUUGCUCAGUUUUAUGGCGACCGGCGCACGGGUGAGUAACACGUAUCCAACCUGCCGAUGACUCGGGGAUAGCCUUUCGAAAGAAAGAUUAAUACCCGAUGGCAUAGUUCUUCUGCAUGGUAGAACUAUUAAAGAAUUUCGGUCAUCGAUGGGGAUGCGUUCCAUUAGGUUGUUGGCGGGGUAACGGCCCACCAAGCCUUCGAUGGAUAGGGGUUCUGGGAGGAAGGUACCCGACGUGGGAACAGGGACAAGGACCAAACGCCUACGGGAGGCAGCAGUGAGGAAUAUUGGUCAAUGGACGGGAGUCUGAGCCAGCCAAGUAGCGUGAAGGAUGACUGCCCUAUGGGUUGUAAACUUCUUUUAUACGGGAAUAAAGUGAGGCACGUGUGCCUUUUUGUAUGUACCGGAUGAAUAAGGAUCGGCUAACUCCGUG